rnacentral:rRNA from 1 species
AUUAGCGGUCAUACCGCAGAGGAAACACCUGGUCUCUUCUCGAACCCAGAAGUUAAGCUCUGCAGGGAUUGGGAUAGCGCUGCCUUCUUGGGUGGAGCUUCUCGAACGCUGCUAAUU